GGACCCGCACAAGCGGUGGAUGAUGUGGAUUAAUUCGAUGCAACGCGAAUAACCUUACCUACCCUUGACAUGUACGGAAGCCCGCUGAGAGGCGGGUGUGCCCGAAAGGGAGCCGUAACACAGGUGCUGCAUGGCUGUCGUCAGCUCGUGUCGUGAGAUGUUGGGUUAAGUCCCGCAACGAGCGCAACCCUUGUCCCUAGUUGCUACGCAAGGGCACUCUAGGGAGACUGCCGGUGACAAACCGGAGGAAGGUGGGGAUGACGUCAAGUCCUCAUGGCCCUUAUGGGUAGGGCCUCACACGUCAUACAAUGGCCGGUACAGAGGGUUGCGAAGCCGCGAGGUGAAGCCAAUCCCAGAAAGCCGGUCGUAGUCCGGAUUGCAGUCUGCAACUCGACUGCAUGAAGUCGGAAUCGCUAGUAAUCGCGGAUCAGCAUGUCGCGGUGAAUACGUUCCCGGGUCUU
rnacentral:rRNA from 1 species